CUGGGCUCUUUGCAAGAUGUGUUACCUGGGUAAAGACCCACGCCACCCCCCCGUAAGGGGAGGCAGGGAUGGAGGGGGGGGGGGAGGCGGAAAAAUAUCUUGAAUGGAUAGACUGCAGCUACGUCACCCCAAGCGCCAACCAUCCAUCCACAAGUGGGUAGGAUGCCAGAGGGAGAGGUGCCUUAUUCUAGGUACCUCUGGUGGGCUGCAGGGUUGGUCAUGGAACCUCCGCGGCCAGCAAUGAACAGAUCCGGCGGUCGCAUGGAACAGGGUCUAGCGUGGGUGUCAUUUUAAGGCGAUGUCCCUGUGCCACUGUCACCCUGGAUGGAGAAGUGUGGGUUUUGAGUCCCUGUGAAAGUUCACUUGGAAUUCCUGGGUGAAGGAUGCAAGGCGGAAAGGAAGAAUUUGAUCAUCAAAGAAAGAAAGAGCCGCAAAGGCCUGAAAACCUGGAAAUCUGUGUUAAUUGCUUCUGAAUGUCUCUGUCUGAAAAAUUAUCAAAUUGAUGUCGUCGUGCUUUUUUUUUUUUUUGACAGCCUGUCUGUUACUUUUUUUUUUAAAUAUUCAUGGGCGGAAAUCUAAUUACUAGGGAAAUUUAAUGAUAAUGAAAUGAAGGCACUUUGGCGGAAAGCGUGGGGGACCUGUUCAUGUUUUCUCAGCCUCUGUCUUGUUCAGAAUUCUUUUUUUUUUUUUUAACGACUGCCUUUCUUGUACUUUAAAAUAUAAAUUGCCCCACAAUAAAACUUGGAUGCCUGAAAA